rnacentral:rRNA from 1 species
UCAGGAUGAACGCUAGCGGCAGGCUAACACAUGCAAGUCGAGGGGUAACGGGGAGUAGCAAUACUCUGCUGACGACCGGCGCACGGGUGCGUAACGCGUAUGCAACCUACCUUGUACAGGGGGAUAACGGAGAGAAAUUUCCACUAAUAUCCCAUAGUGUUACGGAAUCGCAUGGUUCUGUAACUAAAGCUUCGGUGGUACAAGAUGGGCAUGCGUGACAUUAGGUAGUUGGCGGGGCAACGGCCCACCAAGCCGACGAUGUCUAGGGGAGCUGAGAGGCUUAUCCCCCACACUGGUACUGAGACACGGACCAGACUCCUACGGGAGGCAGCAGUGAGGAAUAUUGGUCAAUGGACGGAAGUCUGAACCAGCCAUGCCGCGUGGGAAGGAAGAAGGUCCUAUGGGUUGUAAACUCCUUUUGUUCCAGAGUAAUAAGGUCUUUGCGAAGACUGAUGAGAGUAUGGGACGAAUAAGCAUCGGCUAACUCCGUGCCAGCCGCCGC